rnacentral:lncRNA from 1 species
GCUAUCCUGGUGAAGAACCUUUACCUCUCCUGCGAUCCCUACAUGAGGGGAAGGAUGAGGGAGUACUACGAGUCUUAUAUCCCUCCCUUCCAGCCCGGCUCGGUAUCAUCUCUUCUGCUUGCUUGUUUCCUUUCGCAUGGAACUCAAAGAUUCAAUUUUGAUGCAUGGUAGUGUAGUUCUGUGUGAAUUCUUGGUCUUCUUUUUUGUUCUUAGAUGAGGGCUGAAACUUGCUGUUUUGGGGGAAAAUAUUAGAACAAAGCUUGAAAUAGAGAAGAUCUAAGACAUAAAAGAAGAAUUUUGUUGCUCUAGUGGCAAGGAAAACAUAAGCGCAGGGGUGGGGAUAUGUCUAAUCGAUUCACACUUUUUUAUCUUGUAGUUCAAUCUUCUACCCCCUUUCCGUUUCUUCCAACUGUUCGAUCAAAUUCCAAAGACAGAGAAGUUGCUCUGCUGCAAAUUAUGGAAAACAUUUCUACAUGGCUUACCCCAGUUUGACCUAUUUGUGCUAUAUCACUCUGCACCCACAAUUCAUACACAGAACUAUGUUAGUUUUGGUGAAAACAAUUCUGGAUUUUCUUUGUGUUAAUUGGUUUUAGGUGAUGGGCAUGAAAAUUUUUCAUAACGCGGUCCUUUGCUGUCUUGGUUGGGGAAAAUAGAGAGUAAACACAACAAGAAAGAGAGACAAGACUAGUUAAGACUGAAUCAUGGCUAGAAAACUUGGUGAAGUAGAUCAUGCUUCAGCACUGCAGCUAAAUCCUGAAAAAGAAUAUAAAGGUGAAUUUGUCUUGGACCUUGCUCGAAAUCCCACUUGAUUACAUCAACCCACUAUAAUCAAGUCCAGGGACCAAUCAAUUGAUUUAGUAUGAAUAUAGAGGGACACUCUUCUCAGGAAAACACAGCAUAUAUGAUAAUUGAAGUUCCACGAGUGCAGGUGCCAAGCAAGAACCUCUGCUUUAGGAUGACCAGAAAGAAACUGCCACCUUUGUUCUUAGUUAAACAAUAUUAUACAUCAUUUUUUGGAAGCAUGAUUAUUUGUAUAUAAGUUAAUGAUGAUAUGAGAUGAUGCUUGGACUAUAUGUUAGUAAUAAAUAAUAAAUUUCAAAACACAUGGUAUCUGAUGCAUGGAGUAUAUCAUCUGAUGUUGCAUCACAUCCACCCAAAUCUUGAUCCGUCAUGUUCCUAAGGAUUUUUUUUUCCCUUUCGACUUGACAUUUCGUUCUCUAGGAUGUUUGUAUCUCACUAAACACUUUAUUUAACAGAGAGCUUGAAUUUUUGUCUUCCACUCUUUGUUUGAGAUCAACAAUGGACCCAUACUAAAUAAACCUACUAGUGCAAUCUUCCUUGUCUUGUUGCCUUUGCAAUCACCUUGCUUUGUGAGGUGGUUGAGAUACAAAGGAACAAAAACAAUAAUUUUUGGACAAAGGAUGUGACCUGUGGAGCCCCCCCAUGUGAGCGUGACACAAGAUAAAGAACAGCUAAAGUGUUCCAAAUUUGAGCGGAAGGUAUAUAAUAUCCUUAAUGCAUAAGAUACUUUUCUCACUUAAGAAGACAUCUUAAUCAUAUAAUUUGUUUAGUUUUCUUUCUACUUUUUGACAAUGUCUUAAAGCGACCCACUCAAAAACCCUAUUUGUUAGAUCACUGUAUGCAAAACAGUGGCACUUACGAACAUCUAGUGGGACUUUGUGUAGGUGGAGAUUAGCCUUUGGGGUUGAACAUAAGGAAUCAUCAUAGCAAUCUUUUUUUCAGAAUGGCCCAUUUUUCAAUUACAAAAUUACCCUUAAUUAUGAGGAUGAUUAUCAUUUAAAAAAGUUGAAGUCUCUAUGGUAAAAGACAAAAAAAGCGAUCUUUGGUAAAGAAGUAAAACUUGUGGAUUUUCCUUCAAUUCCUUUCUUUUAUGUUUAAAAAGGGAAAUCAUGAAGAGUCAAUACAUAUAACUCAAAAUCUAAACCCAGGAGUCAUGAAGAAUCUAGAACUCAGCAAAAUAUAUGUGCAUCAGAUCAUGCUUCAGAAGCCUCUUAAGACAUGUAAAUAAUUUUUGAACUCUACUGGUGGAAUCAAUUCCCUUAGGACAUGGGGUAGCAUGGUUUGAAUCAGAUAGUUGUGGUCUUAGGACCAGUCAUUCAAGAAUAUUCUCAAACUAUAUCACAAUGAUAUCGUAUACUAUUUUAGCUUAUACCUGAGACUUGAAUGAUUAUAUACCACUUUUAAGCUCCUAAUCAUUUACUUGGUUGUUAUUUUCAUGCAGGUAAUAGAGGGAUUUGGGGUAGCUAAAGUCGUUGAUUCCACAAACCCAAAGUUUAGCGUCGGUGACUAUAUUGUGGGACUAACUGGCUGGGAAGAGUACAGUGUUAUUGUCAGAACUGAGCAGCUGAGGAAAAUAGAAACUCUUGAUGUCCCUCUUUCCUAUCAUGUGGGACUUCUUGGUAUGUAAUUUCUCUUUAAGUAAUCUUGGUAUGACUGUAUACCUUUUCCUUUUCUUCUUCUUUUUCAUUUGGCUUCUUCUUUUUCAUUUGGUCUCUAUUCAAUAUUUGGAAUUUAUAUUGUAAAAAUGGUAGAAUGUUGCUCUUUUGGCUGCUAAACUGUCAUUCCAUGUUUGUAUCCAAUGAAUGCAGAUAUAAUUUGCUUGAUAUGUUUCAUUUGUUGGAACAGGUAUGCCUGGUUUCACAGCUUAUGUUGGCUUCUACGAGAUCUGUGCUCCAAAGAAAGGCGAUUAUUUCUUUGUAUCUGCUGCAUCUGGAGCAGUCGGCCAACUUGUCGGUCAACUUGCCAAGCUACAUGGAUGUUAUGUUGUUGGGAGUGCUGGAUCGGCAAAAAAGGUCGGGUCUGUUCUUGAGUUCAUGUUAUAUGUUGCUGUUACUUUAUCUGAGUUACUAAUUGAACGUCAUAUCAGGUUGAUCUUCUGAAGAACAAGCUAGGGUUUGAUGAAGCAUUCAAUUAUAAAGAGGAACCUGACUUGACUGAUGCCUUGAAAAGGUCAGUAUAUGACUCAACAUGGCAUGAAAAUCAGAGAGUAACAAUCUCAUACCACAUCGAUUCUUACACCAAUUUAAGUGAAUAUUAUGACCUACAAAUCAAUGACAUUCUAUCCUGAUUUUUUUCAAAGAUCAUUUAAAUAUUCUGAUUCUAUGUUCUGCUCAAGUACCUAAGAUUCUUUCAUGUAUAAAUAAAUGUUCAGAUUUGUCCAUCUCUUCUUCAGUUCUUUCUCGAAUUAUUCCAUACUUCAAAUCCUUCAAAGUCACACCCUCACUCAGAGGAUUCUUUAAAGCAGCCUUCAUCUUCAUGACAAUUCAGCUCAGUAUGUUUUCUUUCGACCAUGUGUCUACUUUGAUGUAAGUUAAACUACUAGUAAAGGCCUAGGCAAGGAGUGCAAACUGUAAUGUCAUUACCUUCCUUUUUGUGCAUUAAUUGCAAUUUUGUUCAUCAAACACAAUAUAAUUAUGCUUCUUUUUUUCAUAUUCCUUUCAAGUAGAUGAGCCUGUAAGUCACUUUACUGUAUCACAAUAAGCCCACAUCUAUUUUGCUCAUAAAAAAUAUUUAACAAUGUUUGGAAUAUUUGCAUAUGUACUUAUGAUCAAAUCAUCUAUUAGUAUAUAUCUCCCAAGUAAUUAUUGUGCCUCCUAAGCUACAAGAAGUUAGAUACACAUUGCAAUUUCUCUUAUGUGCUUUUUUUUUCUUGUUCUUGUAUCAUUUCAACAUCAGGUACUUCCCCAAGGGCAUUGAUAUCUACUUUGACAAUGUCGGCGGUGCCAUGCUUGAUGCAGCACUUACGAAUAUGAGAGUACAUGGUCGAGUUGCCAUUUGCGGAAUGGUCUCUCAGCAUUCCAUUUCUGACCCCAAGGGGAUCUCAAACCUGUACACUCUCGUGAUGAAGCGCGUAAGGAUGCAGGGUUUCAUCCAGAGUGACUACCUGCACCUGCAUCCUGAAUUCUUGAAAACCAUUGUGAGUUUCUACAAGCAAGGGAAGAUUGUUUACAUAGAGGACAUGAACGAAGGACUCGAGAAUGGCCCUGC